rnacentral:lncRNA from 1 species
GCGGCUCCGACUCCGGGGCAAAAGAAGAGUGCAGGAGAGAAAGUUUCCUAAUGCUAGAUUGAAAAAUUGGACGUAUCCCCAGAUUUUAAAACUUGAAAGGAACUCCUAUAUAAGAGAUAAUCUUCCUCCUCCCCCACUGCUGAAAGAAGAAACAGGCCUGUUGCUUAACAUUACACAGUGAGUUAUUUUUUAUGUUUAUUAUUAUUUAGGAAAGAGGUGUGGAAGGAAAGAAAAGCUUUGACUAACUUGUCUUUCUUACAAAAAAAUUUUUUUUUUAAAGCUCAGAGUCAAAUGAUGCCCCCAACUCCAAGAAUUUGUUAAACAAAAUUAACUAAAUUGAAUUUGUUCAACAAAACAAUUGAAUAUACUGUACAAGUCUUCAACCUAUAGUCUACCACCUCUCUGCUGGAAGGCAGGAGGCAUACUUCACUUACAGUCAGAAUAAUGAAGUAAUUCAGUGUUGUUUUUUCUUUGUUAUUGUGUCAUCUUGUACAUUGGGCUCUGCCUCAGUUUAUUCUAGCCUUCUCAAGUUUGUAUGAUUUCUAGUUAUUUGAUUCUUUCUAAGAGUACAACACUAUCUUAUUACAUUAAUACACAAAUAUUUAGUUAUUCUUUCCAAUAAAGGUAUCCAGACUCU